rnacentral:rRNA from 1 species
UACGUAGGGUGCGAGCGUUAAUCGGAAUUACUGGGCGUAAAGCGUGCGCAGGCGGUUCGUUAAGUUCGUUGUGAAAGCCCCGGGCUCAACCUGGGAACUGCAAUGGAAACUGGCGGGCUUGAGUGUGGCAGAGGGGGAUGGAAUUCCGCGUGUAGCAGUGAAAUGCGUAGAUAUGCGGAGGAACACCGAUGGCGAAGGCAAUCCCCUGGGCCUGCACUGACGCUCAUGCACGAAAGCGUGGGGAGCAAACAGG